AGUGAACGCUGGCGGUAGGCCUAACACAUGCAAGUCGAACGGCAGCACAGUAAGAGCUUGCUCUUACGGGUGGCGAGUGGCGGACGGGUGAGGAAUACAUCGGAAUCUACUUUUUCGUGGGGGAUAACGUAGGGAAACUUGCGCUAAUACCGCAUACGACCUACGGGUGAAAGCAGGGGAUCUUCGGACCUUGCGCGAUUGAAUGAGCCGAUGUCGGAUUAGCUAGUUGGCGGGGUAAAGGCCCACCAAGGCGACGAUCCGUAGCUGGUCUGAGAGGAUGAUCAGCCACACUGGAACUGAGACACGGUCCAGACUCCUACGGGAGGCAGCAGUGGAGAAUAUUGGACAAUGGGCGCAAGCCUGAUCCAGCCAUACCGCGUGGGUGAAGAAGGCCUUCGGGUUGUAAAGCCCUUUUGUUGGGAAAGAAAAGCAGCAGGUUAAUACCCCGCUGUUCUGACGGUACCCAAAGAAUAAGCACCGGCUAACUUCGUG
rnacentral:rRNA from 1 species